GACGAAGGGGGCUAGCGUUGUUCGGAAUUACUGGGCGUAAAGCGAGUGUAGGUGGUUGUCCAAGUUGGAUGUGAAAGCCUUGAGCUCAACUCAAGAAAUGCAUUCAGGACUGGGCGGCUAGAGGACCGGAGAGGAUAGUGGAAUUCCCAGUGUAGUGGUGAAAUACGUAGAGAUUGGGAAGAACACCAGUGGCGAAGGCGGCUCACUGGCCCGAUACUGACGCUGAGGCACGAAAGCUAGGGGAG
rnacentral:rRNA from 1 species